rnacentral:rRNA from 1 species
GUCUAUGGCCAUACCACCCUGAAUGCACUGGAUCUCAUCUGAUCUCAGAAGCUAAGCAGGGUCAGGCCUGGUUAGUACUUGGAUGGGAGAAAUUUGAUUUCAGCGGUCA